rnacentral:lncRNA from 1 species
CCUGUUCAAAGGCAGUGCAGAGUGUUAACAGGCCUUGUGAGAUUUUAAAUGAGACAAUACAUAAAAUGUUCUUAGUGGAAUAAGCAUGUAAAAAUUCUUUACCCAUAUUACACUUGUGAUGGACAAAGAUUCUUUGCUGAGCUAAUUCUGAACCCUCUCGUUGGUACGGCAAGAAUCCCUGUUCCCUCACAUCUGGUCUCCCUCCAAAUCUAACCAGCUCUUCAUCUUCCACCACCGCUCCAAGUAAUAUCUGGUCACUCUGCCAGUCUUCAACAGGAAUCCGCAUGGAGCACUGCCUGUGCUCUUCCAACCUGGAGACUCAGCAUAC